rnacentral:rRNA from 1 species
CCUACGGGUGGCAGCAGUGAGGAAUAUUGGUCAAUGGACGAGAGUCUGAACCAGCCACGUAGCGUGAAGGAUGACUGCCCUAUGGGUUGUAAACUUCUUUUAUAUGGGAAUAAAACGUUCCACGUGUGGGAUUUUGUAUGUACCAUAUGAAUAAGGAUCGGCUAACUCCGUGCCAGCAGCCGCGGUAAUAUGGAGGGUACGAGCGUUAACCGGAUUUAUUGGGUUCAAAGGGAGCGUAGGUGGAUUGUUAAGUCAGUUGUGAAAGCUUGCGGCUCAACCGUAAAAUUGCAGUUGAAACUGGCAGGCUUGAGUACAGUAGAGGUUGGCGGAAUUCGUGGUGUAGCGGUGAAAUGCUUAGAUAUCACGAAGAACUCCAGUUGCGAAGGCAGCUCACUGGACUGCAACUGACGCUGAGGCUCGAAAGUGUGGGUAGCAAACAGGAUUAGAUACCCUGGUAGUC